ACACCCCAUGGCCAUUCAAAGUUGUACAAAUCAUGACGCUGCACCCCACAGUUUACGUUCUAGGGGGCGCCAAAGAGGACCCAAAUAUCCACAUAUUUAAAAGUCUUAUAACUUUUUAUUUUUGUCCUCACUGGCCUCCAAGUUUUCUAGGAUGAUGCAAUGUCCAGCCAUCAACACAUUUGUGAAGGAAUUUUUUCUCCCCAAAAGAGCGCCCCCCAUGGCAGGAGAAAAAGUCAAGUUUUUCCUGCCCAUCGCUCAAUGGCUCAAACGCAUCGCUCUCUCGGCAAAACCGAAAGGAGGAGCAACUUGCCAUUUGGAUAUAUACUAGUUGUGUUUAUGCCCUCACUCAUGGUCCAGACUUUUUUCAAAAAGGACAUGGAGUUUGUCUGCAGCGAGCAUUUUGGUAGAAACUGCGCCUCCCAUUCAUUAUAAUGGUAAAUGACCACAGACAAGUGCGCACACCAUCUUUGGACCUUGAGUGUGACGCGAUCGGGAGGGGUAGGCGGUCGCACUGGGGGCGGCGCAACACGGCUCGGGCCCGCCAGUGCCCCAACGGGGCCCUAGUUCUUUCUUUCUUUCUUUCUUUCUUCUUAUUUUUCCUCCCCUUUGAAGGGGAAAAUGGCCCACUUCCCACUGGCGAAAACUCAUGACAUUUGGCAGGAUGACCGGGCCUGGUGAAAAAUUCGAUAUUCUGAAGUCGCCCAAACAAUAAAAUGCAAAAUGGCUCCAUAGCGCCCCCUAAGGUGGAAAUUCACACUAUUGACUGCCACGCCUGUACGCUUUGUCAUAUUGACACAAAAAUUGACACACACAUGUAUCUCAAUACGAUCUACAAAAAAGUCAGUGUGGGCGUAUCUGUCAAAUGUACGGUUAAAGGGUUAUUUCGCAUUUUUUGCCGAUCCGCACACAUUGGAAUUUCGCUAACUCCUCCGAAGGCUUUCGUUCCACCGGCACCAAAUUUGCUCAGGCCAAUCUACACCCCAUGGCCAUUAAAAGUUGUACAAAUCAUGACGCUGCACCCCACGGUUUAGGUUCUAGGGGGCGCCAAAGAUAACCCAAAAAUCCACAUUCUUAAAAGUCUUAUAACUUUUUAUUUUUGUCCUCACUGGCCUCCAAGUUCUCUAGGAUGAUGCAAUGUCCAGCAAUUAACACAUUUGUGAAGGAAUUUUUACUCGCCAAAAGAGCGCCCCCCCAUGGCAGGAGAAAAAAGUCCAUUUAAUUCUUGUCCCCUAAGGCGAAAAUCCACAUUGUUGAGUGUCACGCCUGUACGCUUUGUCAUAUUGACACAAAAUUUGACAAUCACGUGUAUCUCAAUAAGAUCUACGAAAAAGUCAAUGUGCACGUAUCUGUAAAAUGUACGGUUAAAGGGCUAUUUCGCAUUUUUUGCCGAUUCGCACACAUUGGAAUGUGGCUAACUCCUCCUAAGGCUUUCGUUCCACUGACACCAAAUUUGCUCAGGCCAAUCUACACCCCAUGGCCAUUCAAAGUUGUAAAAAUCAUGACGCUGCACCCCACGGUUUACGUUCUAGGAGGCGCCAAAGAGGACCCAAAUAUCCACAUUUUUAAAAGUCUUAUAACUUUAUUUUUGUCCUCACUGGCCUCCAAGUUUUCUAGGAUGAUGCAAUGUUCAGUCAUCAACACAUUUGUGAAGGAAUUUUUUCUCCCCAAAAGAGCGCCCUGCCAUGGCAGGAGAAAAAGUCAAGUUUUUCCUGCCCAUCGCUCAAUGGCUCAAACACAUCGCUCUCUCGGCAAAACCGAAAGGAGGAGCACCUUGCCAUUUGGAUAUAUACUAGCUGUGUUUGUGCCCUCACUCAUGGUCCAGACUUUUUUCAAAAAGGACAUGGAGUUUGUCUGCAGCGAGCGUUUUGGUAGAAACUGCGCCUCCCAUUCAUUAUAAUGGUAAAUGACCACAGACAAGUGCGCACACCAUCUUUGGACCUUGAGUGUGAUGCGAUCGGGAGGGGUAGGCGGUCGCGCUGGGGGCGGCGCGACACGGCUCGGGCCCGCCAGUGCCCCAACGGGGCCCUAGUUAUUAUUAUUUUUCCUCCGCUUUAAACUGGAAAAUGGCCCACUUCCCACUGGCGAAAACUCAGGAAAUUUGGCAGGACGACCGGGCCUGGUGAAAAAUUCGAUAUUCUGAAGUCGCCCAAACAAUAAAAUGCAAAAUGGCUCCAUAGCGCCCCCUAAGGUGAAAAUUCACACUAUUGACUGUCACACCUUUACGCUUUGUCAUAUUGACACAAAAAUUGACACACACAUGUAUCUCAAUAAGAUCUACAAAAAAGUCAGUGCGGGCGUAUCUGUCAAAUGUACGGUUAAAGGGUUAUUUCGCAUUUUUUGCCAAUCCGCACACAUUGGAAUUUCGCUAACUCCUCCGAAGGCUUUCGUUCCACCGGCACCACAUUUGCUCAGGCCAAUCUACACCCCAUGGCCAUUCAAAGUUGUACAAAUCAUGACGCUGCACCCCACGGUUUACGUUCUAGGGGGCGCCAAAUAUAACCCAAAAAUCCACAGUCUUAAAAGUCUUAUAACUUUUUAGUUUUGUCCUCACUGGCCUCCAAGUUUUCUAGGAUGAUGCAAUGUCCAGCCAUCAACACAUUUGUGAAGGAAUUUUUACUCGCCAAAAGAGCGCCCCCCCCAUGGCAGGAGAAAAAAGUCCAUUUUUUCUUGUCUCCUAAGGCGAAAAUACACAUUGUUGACUGUCACGCCUUUACGCUUUGUCAAAAUGACACAAAAUUUGACACACACAUGUAUCUCAAUAAGAUCUACGAAAAAGUCAAUGCGAGUGUAUCUGUUCAAUGUACAGUUAAAGGGCUAUUUCGCAUUUUUUGCCGAUUCGCACACAUUGGAAUGUGGCUAACUC
rnacentral:lncRNA from 1 species